GACGAACGCUGGCGGCGUGCUUAACACAUGCAAGUCGAACGCUGAAGCCUGGCUUUUGUUGGGUGGAUGAGUGGCGAACGGGUGAGUAACACGUGAGUAACCUGCCCUCUUCUUUGGGAUAACGCCCGGAAACGGGUGCUAAUACUGGAUAUUCACUUGCCUUCGCAUGGGGGUGGGUGGAAAGGGUUUUUUCUGGUGGGGGAUGGGCUCGCGGCCUAUCAGCUUGUUGGUGGGGUGAUGGCUUACCAAGGCUUUGACGGGUAGCCGGCCUGAGAGGGUGACCGGUCACAUUGGGACUGAGAUACGGCCCAGACUCCUACGGGAGGUAUCUUUUUGGGAAUAUUGCACAAUGGGCGCAAGCCUGAUGCAGCGACGCCCCGUGAGGGAUGGAGGCCUUCCGGUUGUGAACCUUUUUUCCCCCAUGGUCAAACCCCUCUCAUGGGUGUGGUGAUGUUAGUGGUAAAGAACGCCCGGGGUCCCCGAGCCAACAUCUACAUUAUCUCCAUUUACA
rnacentral:rRNA from 1 species